rnacentral:rRNA from 1 species
GACGAACCGAGCGAACGUUGUUCGGAAUCACUGGGCUUAAAAGGGCGCGUAGGCGGAUUCUCAAGUCCGGGGUGAAAUCCCACAGCUCAACUGUGGAACUGCCUCGGAUACUGGGGGUCUCGGAGGGUGGCAGGGGUAUGCGGAACUAUCGGUGGAGCGGUGAAAUGCGUUGAUAUCGAUAGGAACUCCGGUGGCGAAGGCGGCAUACUGGUC